rnacentral:rRNA from 1 species
CAAAAACAUAACUACAUGUAAUCACAUGUAGCGUUUUCUGCUCAAUGAUAUUUUAAAUAGCUGCAGUACUCUGACUGUGCAAAGGUAGCAUAAUAAAUUGGCUUAUAAUUGAAGUCUAGUAUGAAUGAAUACAUGGGGAGUAACUAUAUUAAAGAUACUUUAUAGAAAUUAAUUAUUACGUGAAAAUACGUAUAUAUAAAUAAUAGACGAGAAGACCCUAAAAAUUUUAACUAAACAAUACUAUUACGUUUUUGUUGGGGCGACAUGGUAACAAUAAACUUACAUAAAUAUUACACGAAGUAUAAACGGACUGAGUAAAUUACUUUAGGGAUAACAGCAUAAUUUAAAAAAGUUUGUGACCUCGAUGUUGGAUUAGGUAAAUGAAAUUUAGAAGAUAUACAUUAUUGCUCUGUUCGAGCUAUUACACCUACGUGAUCUGA